CAACAACGAGUGCUUUUACAUUGCUACCACUGGCAAAGCUCCUUGCUUGCCUUGCCACUGGCCAUUUACAAAGAACUCCGAUCUAUCCACCGACCGAUACGGACCGAUUCGUUUUGCUGAUUCAAUGGCAUGUCUGAGUGCGUGGACGAAGGAACGAAUAUACCACCGAUGAGAGUUAUCUUGGAAGGAGAAUGUAUGGAACAGCAUGGCGUUCUGAUAGAUAACUGCGUCGUAUUCGAGCUGGAUUCAAUGUAGGGCGGGCCAGGAUGGGAGAUUCAUCUUAUAUGUAAAAAGAGGGGCUCAUUCAUUGCAACGCGGUGCUCGUGAAUGAGAUCGAAUCGAUUUGCAGUUAAGUCAAGUCGAGCAGCCAGUUGAUUCGAGGGGAAACUCCUAUCCAAUAGGUGGACCCAGAGUCAUGGGCUGGGAGCCCAUACAGGGCAUGACUAAUCAAUAGUUCAAAGCAUAUGAAUGAGUGCUGGAAGGGCUUUCUCCUAUGAGUGGCUCUCUUUUUCUUAUCUAUCCACCCGGAUAGAGAAAGAGACACCCAAUGGUUCCAACCAAGAAAAAAAAAGAUAGAGACCUUCAAUUGAAUGGAGUGGCCACUCUUUGUGCCGGGGAAAGAGUCUUGUUCUCGUCCCCGUAGGAGCGACUAGUGCAUGGACCUUCGUGAGUCACGGGUAGGUGAGUAAGAAGAAAUGGAUCAAGUUUCUCCCAAGCCAUCUGUCAUUUCCUAAGACUGCGCUCCAU
rnacentral:lncRNA from 1 species